CUGUCGGUCACGAAAAGGAACGGGCGUGCGAGUGGGAGAGCGCCUCCGCGAGAGGUCCUGGUUGCGCGCCUACGCACGUUGGUGUACGUACGGGCCGUCGGCGGUUUGUGUACCGCGCGACGAGGCUCCGUACUCUAUAUAUAUAUAUCGUGGCUUCUCCGCCGCAGUGGACGAGGGAAGAGGCAGCACCUCGGUGCCGAAGCAAAACAGGUUCCUAUGGACGGUAAUUCCAGCGCAGAGAACGUAGUCGCAAGACUCGUGCUCGAACGCAAUGGUGUUCGCCCGCUUCGGGAGGAUGCCCCGACAUCUGCUUGUUUCAGACCGGUGAUGUGUACGAGUGAGUCAGCAAUGAGCCUUUGCCUUGGAUCGAGGCGCUGCGGACCGUGCACCCGUGAGAACGGGUAGCGCGCGGACCCGUGCCGAGGCCUUGGUAAGACGUAGGUCCUCUCGUCUUCGUCGGGGAGAAACUGCUCGUGGCAGGCAAAGGCCUUGUUCACAUGGAGUGUACGUCUCUUUCGGCGGGACAUUGGCCCGAGACGCGUCGCGGCGGCUAUAGGCCGAGUAGCUCGACACUCACCUCGCUGAAUGGGAGCACGAUUAGGGGAUAACUCUCUUCGGCGACGAAUGGACGGAACCUUCUUUUGUUUUGCAGGCACCUUGACGGUGUCAUGUCUGAAUAUGUGGCUCGAGGAAGAACCCGGGGUGCCCGCCCCGUCCGUCACGUGCACCGGCGCUGUCGGCCCAUCUGUGACCUUCGGCAAAUCAUUCUACGCCGAAGGCCGUUGGCCGCGCAGCUCGCGCGUCUGUCAUUGACCCGCAGGUGGUAGAGCGCAUCUCGACACGUUCAUUACCCGUUGCCGGCGGCAGUUCUUGUUUGAGAACUAGCAUGCAACACUAACGGCGCCUUGUGUACUCGAGGUAGGGCAGGAACGUUGUUGGGGUGUAGUCCCAAGCGGUCCCUUUGGACCGCCAUGGGCGCUGUCGGGUGCAGGCAAAUUUACCCGCGCAACCUGUUUAUUGCUUCUGGGCGUGAUCAAAGGACGGUCUUGCGAGUGGAAGAGCGCCUCCCGCUGAGGAGGUUUCAGGAUGCACAGCACGGACGGGGUGGAUGGCUCCCGAGGCGAUUCCAAGCGCCCGCCCCACCCCCCCUUUGUCCACUGGGGUCGUACUGCGAAAACGGCACCCUUUUUACAU
rnacentral:tmRNA from 1 species